rnacentral:rRNA from 1 species
ACUCCUACGGGAGGCAGCAGUGGGGAAUAUUGCACAAUGGGGGAAACCCUGAUGCAGCCAUGCCGCGUGUGUGAAGAAGGCCUUCGGGUUGUAAAGCACUUUCAGUAGGGAGGAAGGUAGUGUAGUUAACACCUGCACUAUUUGACGUUACCUACAGAAGAAGCACCGGCUAACUCCGUGCCAGCAGCCGCGGUAAUACGGAGGGUGCGAGCGUUAAUCGGAAUUACUGGGCGUAAAGCGCAUGCAGGCGGCCUGUUAAGUCAGAUGUGAAAGCCCGGGGCUUAACCUCGGAAUUGCAUUUGAAACUGGCAGGCUAGAGUCUUGUAGAGGGGGGUAGAAUUUCAGGUGUAGCGGUGAAAUGCGUAGAGAUCUGAAGGAAUACCAGUGGCGAAGGCGGCCCCCUGGACAAAGACUGACGCUCAGAUGCGAAAAGCGUGGGGGAGCAAAACAGGAUUAGAUACCCUGGUAGGAUAGCG